AGCGAACGCUGGCGGCAGGCCUAAUACAUGCAAGUCGAGCGGGUCCUUCGGGAUUAGCGGCGGACGGGUGAGUAACGCGUGGGAACGUGCCCUUUGGUACGGAACAACUGAGGGAAACUUCAGCUAAUACCGUAUGUGCCCUUCGGGGAAAGAUUAUCGCCAUUGGAGCGGCCCGCGUUGGAUUAGGUAGUUGGUGAGGUAAAGGCUCACCAAGCCUACGAUCCAUAGCUGGUCUGAGAGGAUGACCAGCCACACUGGGACUGAGACACGGCCCAGACUCCUACGGGAGGGCAGCAGUAGGGAAUCUUGCGCAAUGGGCGAAAGCCUGACGCAGCCAUGCCGCGUG
rnacentral:rRNA from 1 species